AGGAUGGAUUCUUGUCAGCAUUUUACGUCGUCAAUGGGUCUCCAUAGAUUUUGGAAGUCGUAAAAUGCAAAUUACAUAUUUAAUCAAUCUGAAUAAAUAAUUAUUGUUUUAUUUAUUAGUUUAUGUAUUGUUGAGUCUAUUUCUAUUAAAGAAAUUAAGUUGUUCGUGAUUUUUUCUUUGAUUUGCGACAAUUGCCAUAAAAUGCGCAGUUCCGUAGCGAAUGUCAACAUGUCCAGGUCGUUUCCCGUAGAUAACCCCGAGAGGAUUGUUUUGUAAAAUAUACAAGCCGUAAACAUUAUUGAAGCAUUGUAGAAGCCCAGGAAUGAUUAAAACAAAUUUAAGUCACCCAUUUCUUUAUGCCCGGGACACCCGAUCAGCCAAAGGAAACGAACUGUUGAAGGUCACAAACAUGCGAGAUUUCAGACCCAAGUUGCCUCGAUCGCCUGAUGUCAUUUGGGUAACUGUGCAGUGAGAUUGUACAUGAGCAAACAGCCCUACAGUACUUAAUUUACCCAGGAGUAGACUACUUGUAGUUGAAGGUAGACUGAAGGCCAGACUUAGGCAGGAUGAUUGAACAAAUCUGCUCGCAGAUGGACUACUGAGGCAAAAAAAUUGGACUCUCAGGAGGUGAACAGAUGUUCAGCAAGCAAUUUGCACAUCAAAUGCUGCGAAUUACACUGAUAUCCCCCCCCCCCAAAAAAAAAAAAAGAACAGAGAGACAAAUCAUGAACAGCUUGAGACUUGGUGCACAUAACCUUGCCACAGAAAAGGGGAUUUACCUAUAAACACUCCCUAAUGAAAGAUUUUGUAAAUUAUUUAUUACACAGGAAAGAUUCAAGAUGUAUUUCGUAUUUAUUUAGCUACAAAAUUAUACAAUAAUUAUAAGUUAACUUUUGAAAGGAAGUUGAUGUAUUUUUUUCUUGAAAGGAAAAGUAUCAAAUUUGUCUCAUAUAUCUUUGAUAGUCAUUGAAUGUACAGAAAUACUGAAAAUAACACUUAUUUAUUAAGAAAUACCAUAUAUUUAGAAAUCAUUGUAAUACAUAUUUAUUGUGUAUUAUUGUGUAAAUUAUAUUAUUGUGGGAUAUAUGUAUAGCCUCAAAAUCUAGAUGCAGUGUAUUGUAUAAAAUUGUACGAACAAUUGGUGAUUCUUAUACUAGUAUGUUGCACCCUUGACAAUUAUUGUAAUUGUGUUGGCGCUGAUAAAUAUUUAUAUACAUGUCAUAUAGUUCAUGUACAACAUAUAUGAAGAUUCUAUAAUAUAACAUAAAGUUUUGGCCUUUAACUCAGCAAAAAUAUACAUGUAUUUCGUUUGCGAACCUUUACUUUUUCUGUAAAUAAUGAAACCAGUAUAUUUUAUAACAGAGGAAAUUCGGAUUGAAUUUUUAAAAGUAUUUUUGGAAACAUGGCAAUAAUUUCAGCAAUUAUUUCCAAAAUAAUACAUGAUAUCACAUUUUUAUCACAUUUUAGAGAAAAUGUAUUAUCUAACCGCCUGUCCUGUCUCUUAAAUUAUUAGCCUAUAUGAUAUAUUGAAAGCAUUUUCUUUUUCAAUGAUAAUUUUAUUAAAAUGAGGAAAUUGGAGCUAACCUGGCCAUUUAAUAAAUAUGAAUACUCCUUUAUUUUUUUGUUGUAAAUGAUUCAUUCAACAUCUAUCUUUCCUAUGGUUGUAAAAAUAUUUUUUCCUGAAUAUAUAAUUUAAGUAAAAAAUCAAAUGAAAAAGAAUGAUUGUCAAAGACUAAAAUAUCACUUUAUAAAGAGUA